rnacentral:rRNA from 1 species
GACGAACGCUGGCGGCGUGCCUAAUACAUGCAAGUAGAACGCACAGUUUAUACCGUAGCUUGCUAUACCAUAGACUGUGAGUUGCGAACGGGUGAGUAACGCGUAGGUAACCUGCCUGGUAGCGGGGGAUAACUAUUGGAAACGAUAGCUAAUACCGCAUAAUAUUGAUUAUUGCAUGAUAAUUGAUUGAAAGAUGCUAUUGCAUCACUACCAGAUGGACCUGCGUUGUAUUAGCUAGUAGGUGAGGUAACGGCUCACCUAGGCGACGAUACAUAGCCGACCUGAGAGGGUGAUCGGCCACACUGGGACUGAGACACGGCCCAGACUCCUACGGGAGGCAGCAGUAGGGAAUCUUCGGCAAUGGACGAAAGUCUGACCGAGCAACGCCGCGUGAGUGAAGAAGGUUUUCGGAUCGUAAAGCUCUGUUGUAAGAGAAGAACGGGUGUGAGAGUGGAAAGUUCACACUGUGACGGUAUCUUACCAGAAAGGGACGGCUAACUACGUG